UACGUAGGGGGCUAGCGUUGUCCGGAUUUAUUGGGCGUAAAGAGCGUGUAGGCGGCCAGAUAGGUCUGCUGUGAAAACUCGAGGCUCAACCUCGAGAUGUCGGCGGAAACCAUUUGGCUAGAGUCCGGAAGAGGAAAGUGGAAUUCCUGGUGUAGCGGUGAAAUGCGCAGAUAUCAGGAAGAACACCCGUGGCGAAGGCGGCUUUCUGGGGACGGUACUGACGCUGAGACGCGAAAGCGUGGGGGAGCAAACAGG
rnacentral:rRNA from 1 species